GUGGCACCAAGGCCUUGCGCGGCCCAACGCACAAGGGGGGGACGGCGCGGCCCUCGCCCUGGGCCCCGGGUGCCACCAGGUUUUCCCUUGGUCGGGAUUUCUUUUGUGGGCCUAGGCAGGGCAGGCGCCCCAUGCUGUCUCCGCACUGACCUAGGCACCCACCCCACAUGAGGGCACCCACCCACAUGAGGCGUCGGGAGGUGUGGGGCCCGGGAGAACAUUGCUCUGCCUGGUUUCCUAGGCGGAGGCAGGUGUGUUGUCGGCAAAGACCCUCACUCAGGCCAAGUGUGUGAUGUCUCUUCUUCUUCCGCAGACGCCGAGCCCGGCACCCGGGAACCUGUUCCGGACGUGCCGCUCCCAACCAUGACUCCCAGCACCGAGGCUGACCACGACCACGACCACGACCACGACCACGACCACGACGCCGAGCCCGGCACCCGGGAACCUGUUCCGGACGUGCCGCUCCCAACCAUGACUCCCAGCACCGAGGCUGACCACGACCAUGACCACGACCACGACCACGACCACGACCACGACCACGACCACGGUAGGGGCCCGUGUGCCUUGUGUCCUCUGCCCCUGGGAGCCCGCUGGGCUGCCGGGGCUCCUUGAGCGAGAAAUGACAUUUCUAUUGGAUCCGGGAACGUAGAGGCGGUG
rnacentral:lncRNA from 1 species